rnacentral:rRNA from 1 species
UAGAGUUUGAUCCUGGCUCAGAUUGAACGCUGGCGGCAGGCCUAACACAUGCAAGUCGAGCGGAUGAAGAGAGCUUGCUCUCUGAUUCAGCGGCGGACGGGUGAGUAAUGCCUAGGAAUCUGCCUAUUAGUGGGGGACAACGUUUCGAAAGGAACGCUAAUACCGCAUACGUCCUACGGGAGAAAGCAGGGGACCUUCGGGCCUUGCGCUAAUAGAUGAGCUUAGGUCGGAUUAGCUAGUUGGUGAGGUAAAGGCUCACCAAGGCGACGAUCCGUAACUGGUCUGAGAGGAUGAUCAGUCACACUGGAACUGAGACACGGUCCAGACUCCUACGGGAGGCAGCAGUGGGGAAUAUUGGACAAUGGGCGAAAGCCUGAUCCAGCCAUGCCGCGUGUGUGAAGAAGGUCUUCGGAUUGUAAAGCACUUUAAGUUGGGAGGAAGGGCAGUAAGCUAAUACCUUGCUGUUUUGACGUUACCGACAGAAUAAGCACCGGCUAACUUCGUGCCAGCAGCCGCGGUAAUACGAAGGGUGCAAGCGUUAAUCGGAAUUACUGGGCGUAAAGCGCGCGUAGGUGGUUUGUUAAGUUGGAUGUGAAAGCCCCGGGCUCAACCUGGGAACUGCAUCCAAAACUGGCAAGCUAGAGUAUGGCAGAGGGUGGUGGAAUUUCCUGUGUAGCGGUGAAAUGCGUAGAUAUAGGAAGGAACACCAGUGGCGAAGCGACCACCUGGGCUAAUACUGACACUGAGUGCGAAAGCGUGGGGAGCAAACAGGAUUAGAUACCCUGGUAGUCCACGCCGUAAACGAUGUCGACUAGCCGUUGGGAUCCUUGAGAUCUUAGUGNCGCAGCUAACGCAUUAAGUCGACCGCC